GGCUUAGAGUUUGAUCAUGGCUCAGGAUGAACGCUGGCGGCGUGCUUAACACAUGCAAGUCGAGCGAAGCACUUACUUUUGAUUUCUUCGGAAUGACGAGGUCUGUGACUUAGCGGCGGACGGGUGAGUAACGCGUGGGCAACCUGCCUCACACAGGGGGAUAACAGUUAGAAAUGACUGCUAAUACCGCAUAAGACCCCGGCACCGCAUGGUGCAGGGGUAAAAACUCCGGUGGUGUGAGAUGGGCCCGCGUCUGAUUAGGUAGUUGGUGCGGUAACGGCGCACCAAGCCGACGAUCAGUAGCCGACCUGAGAGGGCGACCGGCCACAUUGGGACUGAGACACGGCCCAAACUCCUACGGGAGGCAGCAGUGGGGAAUAUUGCACAAUGGGGGAAACCCUGAUGCAGCGACGCCGCGUGAAGGAUGAAGUAUUUCGGUAUGUAAACUUCUAUCAGCAGGGAAGAAAAUGACGGUACCUGACUAAGAAGCCCCGGCUAACUACGUGCCAGCAGCCGCGGUAAUACGUAGGGGGCAAGCGUUAUCCGGAUUUACUGGGUGUAAAGGGAGCGUAGACGGCUGUGCAAGUCUGGAGUGAAAACCCGGGGCUCAACCCCGGGAUUGCUUUGGAAACUGUGUAGCUGGAGUACCGGAGAGGCAAGUG
rnacentral:rRNA from 2 species